rfam:Heligmosomoides polygyrus genome assembly, scaffold: HPBE_scaffold0002279
AUGCCGGUGGUGUAAGGCAUAGCAUCGCUGCCCGAAAAGUAGAAGGUGCGGGCUCGAGUCCCGUCUGGCGCA